rnacentral:lncRNA from 1 species
ACUUGUGACUGCAAAAUUAUUUCUCACUCUCAGGGGCAAGUGAUGUUUCUUUAUGACCAAAGUGAUAACAACUUUAAGAGAGGAAAUCGAUAAAAAUGGACUUCCGGCGACUCUCAGUGCUGAGAAACACAGAAGUCGUUCAGACUUGGACCCAGGCCUCAGGAAACACACUCCCCCUGCCUGCUGCAUCCAGACCCUGAGUGACUCUCACGGAGGCCAAAUCGUGCCGGCUCCCCUCUCCCAGGACUUUUGGGAUCCAACCCUUUGCGACCUUUAUCCUGACUAAGCUUCUAUACCUAGAGACACCUGCUUCAUACAAGUUCAAACGAGAGAGAAAGUGAAGGUUCCAGACUUUGAAAAGAUCAAGCAGGGUGAGAUGCCCCCAUGAGCUGAAUGAAUUCUCAUUCUGCCAGACCACUGGCUACCAUCUGCCCACUUCGGCCUCAUAACUACGCCCAAGAGAGCCUGUUGUCCAGGAGACAGGGAGGACGAGAGCAGGUAUCACUGAAAAUCAACAUUGUGAACAAUGACUAAAAAAUAGAAGUAUUGAUAUGUUUUUUGGCAGGGGUGGGGAUGCUGGGGGAUCUUUUUACUCUUUUCCUCUGCCAUUUCAUAUGCAGAUGCAGGAACUUCCGGGCAAACUUAGUUUAUUAUGUUCUCU